CCCGACAAUACCUAACCCGUCGCGAGGCGGGGGCGGAAAGCCACGGGUCUUCAAAAAAAAGAAGACAGCCGAGCUGCCGAAG
rnacentral:ncRNA from 1 species